AGAGUUUGAUCAUGGCUCAGAUUGAACGCUGGCGGCAUGCCUUACACAUGCAAGUCGAACGCGAAAGUGGGGGCAACCCUGCGAGUAGAGUGGCGAACGGGUGAGUAAUACAUCGGAACGUACCCAGGAGUGGGGGACAACCUCGAGAAAUCGAGGCUAAUACCGCAUACGUCCUGAGGGAGAAAGCGGGGGAUUCGCAAGGACCUCGCGCUCAUGGAGCGGCCGAUGUCGGAUUAGCUAGUUGGCGGGGUAAAGGCCCACCAAGGCUACGAUCCGUAGCUGGUUUGAGAGAACGACCAGCCACACUGGGACUGAGACACGGCCCAGACUCCUACGGGAGGCAGCAGUGGGGAAUUUUGGACAAUGGGCGCAAGCCUGAUCCAGCCAUGCCGCGUGAGUGAAGAAGGCCUUCGGGUUGUAAAGCUCUUUCGGCUGGAACGAAAUCGCGUACGUGAAUAACGUGCGUGGAUGACGGUACUGGAAGAAGAAGCACCGGCUAACUACGUGCCAGCAGCCGCGGUAAUACGUAGGGUGCGAGCGUUAAUCGGAAUUACUGGGCGUAAAGCGUGCGUAGGCGGUUUUGUAAGUCAGAUGUGAAAUCCCCGGGCUUAACCUGGGAACUGCGUUUGAAACUACAGAGCUAGAGUGUGGCAGAGGGGGGUGGAAUUCCCGUGUAGCAGUGAAAUGCGUAGAUAUGUGGAGGAACACCGAUGGCGAAGGCAACCCCCUGGGCCAACACUGACGCUGAGGCACGAAAGCGUGGGGAGCAAACAGGAUUAGAUACCCUAGUAGUCC
rnacentral:rRNA from 1 species